rnacentral:rRNA from 1 species
AUUGAACGCUGGCGGCACGCCUAACAUAUGCAAGUUGAACGGCAGCACGGAUAGGGUAACCUAUUGGGUGGCGAGUAGCGAACGGGUGAGUAAUGCGUAGGAAUAUGUCUUAUAGACCGGGACAACUUGGGGAAACUCAAGCUAAUACCGCAUAACGCCUGCGGACAAAAGCUGGGGACAUGCGAAGGCCCGGCGCUUAGAGAUUAGCCUGCGUUCGGUUAGCUAGGUGGUGGGGUAAGGGCCUACCAAGGCGACGAUCGGUAGCGUGUCUGAGAGGAUGACCAUCCACAGUGAAACUGACACACGGUCCAGACUCCUACGGGAGUGAGCAGUUGGGAAUAUUGGACAAUGGGGGGAACCCUGAUCCAGCAAUGCCGCGUGUGUGAAGAAGGCCUGAGGGUUGUAAAGCACUUUCAGUAGGGAGGAGGAUUCUUAGGGUAAGAGCUAGAGUAUUGGACGUUACCUACAGAAGAAGCACCGGCUAACUCCGUGCCAGCAGCCGCCGUAA